GACCCAGUGGUGCAAUGCUUAACACACCUGCACAACUUAUUGCAAUACUCUCUUUGUCGUACAGGAGAUCCCUGUUCAAUUUGGGGCUGGGUCA